UACGGAGGGAGCUAGCGUUGUUCGGAUAUACUGGGCGUAAAGCGUGCGCAGGCGGCUUUGCAAGACAGAUGUGAAAUCCCCGGGCUUAACCUGGGAACUGCAUUUGUGACUGCAAGGCUGGAGUGCGGUAGGGGCAGAGGGAAUUCCCAGUGUAGCGGUGAAAUGCGUAGAUAUUGGGAAGAACACCGGUGGCGAAAGCGCUCUGCUGGACCUGCACUGACACUGAGGGACGAAAGCUAGGGGAGCGAAAGGG
rnacentral:rRNA from 1 species